rnacentral:rRNA from 1 species
UACGGAGGGUGCGAGCGUUAAUCGAAAUUACUGGGCGUAAAGCGCACGCAGGCGGUUUGUUAAGCUAGAUGUGAAAGCCCCGGGCUCAACCUGGGAUGGUCAUUUAGAACUGGCAGACUAGAGUCUUGGAGAGGGGAGUGGAAUUCCAGGUGUAGCGGUGAAAUGCGUAGAUAUCUGGAGGAACAUCAGUGGCGAAGGCGACUCCCUGGCCAAAGACUGACGCUCAUGUGCGAAAGUGUGGGUAGCGAACAGG